AGAACAGGCUAAAAUUGGGCAUAAAGAGAUCUUAGGUGGUUCCCAGAAGAAGGCACGAUUUCAGACAACUCAUUGCCCAAAAUCAUGAUUUGCCGAUUCGGGUUCUGAGACUCAAUUUAGGGAUCCCGAGUAGAUUUUCUCCAGGCAGAAGUGCAGAGUCCUGUGAAUCAAUUUUGAAGGUUCAAAAUGAUAGAAUUCAUAUUGAAGAGUUAAUUGACGACUUCAAAAACAUGGGUAGUGAUUAUGAAGAUGUUGAACUAAAAGAUCAGUCAUUCGACCCGAUGGAGACUAAUAUGGACGUUAAUGGUAUCCCUUCCUGUUUGAAUGUUCCUGUUGUACAUGACCAUGAUGCAAACCUAAAUGUUCAACUUGGGAAGCUCAUUGAUGAGGUGGAUGAAACUAAAGUUGAUUGUGAAGAAGGUGAUCAUUCUCAUAUAGAUGUAUAACACGAUCUUUAGAUUGUUGCAGCCUCUGUUCACAUGAAAAAUUCAAUUGAAAUCGAGCAUUCAAAGUCAAUUCAGGAUGAAACGGAAUCUCAGUGAGUUCUGCCGAGGAUGACUACUUGAGCAAAAAUCAGUAAUCAAGUCACUUCUAUUCUUUGAUGCUGAAUUAAUUGGGGAUAAGAACUGAUUUUAUAUGCUAUCAUUUUCCAAUCAAAUGUUGAAUGACUCGGUUAGUUGAUAUUCUUUUUUUUUUUUAAUUCAGCCGAAUACAUUACACAUUUACUCAUUGAGUGAAGCAUAAUAAUUUCUUUUGUGUACAACAAAUUGAUGUAAUUUUGUAUUACUUGCGCAAGAAAUUCAAGUAUGAACCGAACUGUCAAUACAAAUACAGUAUAGUUAACUGUUUAUUCAUGACAGCAUUAUCGGAUGUUUUUGACAAGUAUGCAGACAGUACAAAGGAUUAUAGCCUGACAAGUCAAGAGUUGACAAUCGUCAAAUACAUCAAAUGAUUUAGACUCCAUGCUUCUGUACCUUGGCAUACUAUGGAUUAUAAUUUUAUUUCAGUUAAUAUUGGCAGAAUAUAUUGGGUAUUGGUUGUUCUGUCAUUCAAUGAUAGAUGUUUGUAUGUGUAUGACACUUUUAGUUCUGCUCGUCAUGAUGCAUUUGUUGCUCUCGAAGUGAAGAAGCUAUCAGAAUUGUUACCUUCAUAUCUAACAAUUUUCGAUUUCUAUGGAAAAAAAUAUUGA